rnacentral:lncRNA from 1 species
AAACUGCCCAAUCGGAGAAGAAGGAGAGAGAGCGAAUCAGAGGCAGAGAGAGGAAGAAACUGACCAAUCGGAACAGGGAAAGGAGGAAGGGAGAGAGGGUGAGAAGCGGAGGAAAAGAGGAAGUGGGUUGGGGAGAACCCGUGGGUCGUUUCGACCCGGCGGUGCCCACGCCCAAAUUCGAUGGAUUUCGUCCAAAUUUCCGACGAAUUGAGUCAAGGACCUAGAACAAAGCCCAAGAGGUAAUUGAGGCGUUGGAACAAGUUUGAAGGUCGAAUUGGAAACACCCAAAUUCUAGGGUUCUCACGGUUUUGGUGAAAUUGAAGCACUUCCAGGCCAAAUUGGCCUUGGUCUCAGGAUUUCUGAGGUUGGGUUUGAUUAUUGUUCUAGGCGCUAAUCUUCAUGACGCCUUGAUGUGUGGUGCUAGGGAGUUGUUGAGCGAACUCCAGGUGAGUGGGCAGUUUUGUUUUCGUAUUACCUAUAUACUAUUGAUUUUUCCCAGAAAAUGAAUUUAUAUGAAAAUAUGCUUUAAAAAUGCCAUGCAUAGAAUUAUUUGAAAAUGUGAAUUGUUAUAUGAAUUACAUGAUUGAGAUAUGAUGCAUGCAUGUUGCAUGGUGCUGUGGAGGCACAGGUAAGUCAGGUGAGUUCAUUAUUCAUUUAAUUGAAUUGAUUGAUAUCGAUAUAAUUUGAGCUCAUAACCUGCACCCUAGGUGUUAGUGCUUAUAUUUAUUCACCACACCGCACGCUCGCCUUGGAUCCAAGUAGGUGGAUGUCGUACAGACCAUGUGAGGGUUCCCGACAUGCUAGUCGUACAGAUCACUAGGCGUGAUUCCGACUAGUGGGUGACCUUAGAUAUGCGCGCUGAUGAUAUGAUGAGAGAAGCACUAGAGCGUAUUUUACACCUUUCAUCGUAUAGACUACCUUACGUAGUUCCGAGUGAUGUGCAGAGUAGGGCCGUAUAGGUCACUGUGGUGACUCCGGCUUAGUGAGAUAUUGAGCUGUUGAAUUAAUCGUAUAGGACCAACUGCAGGGUCUCCGAUUGAUUCCUUAUUUCACCUGAUUUAUAUUUUGAUUUAUGGCAUGGCAUGUUUUUCUUGAAAAGCGUUAAAGAUUUGAGAUUUGAAUUUUGAGAUUAUAUAUGGUUUUAUAUAUACUAUUUUCUGGGAAAGUAUACAGGUUUUACGGUGAGGGGUUAUAAAUGUUUUAAAUGGAAAGUCUUCGAAAAACUUUGUUUUACUGACCCACUCAAUUUUGUUUUGCGCCCCUCCAGGUUCAAGUUAGCAGAGCCUUGGUGGCCACGAGGAAUCCAACGGUGUUCUGACAGAAUUCACAAAAGUAUGACUCACCCUCGGGUGUCUCAUCUUAGUAAUUGUAAUUUUUCUUAAAACUUCCGAACUGUGUAAAUGGUUACGUCACUCUCACGUGACGGCCAGCACGCCCUCCUUCGGGAUGGGGUGUGUCAGUUGGUAUCAGAGCCUAGGUUGCAAUUCUGGACAUCUUGAGAAUUUCCUAGUGUCUUCUGUCAGAACUAUACCGCCUCGUAGCGAGCCACGUAGUUCGGAUGAGCCUAAAUUCCCUUAUAUAGUAGUUUGGGGGGAAAUUAUUGUCACUAUGAUUCAGUCUAUUAUCUAAAGGAACCUUUGAGACUGAUUAUAAGUUAAAUUUGAAUACAGACUUGCCUUGUUUCCAUUCGGAUGUUGUUACUAAUCCGGUCGAGGUGUUAUGUCGUUUUUGGCGGGAUAAUAAGAAGAAGUGACGUUCUUUGGCGACCACAAUCCAUUGUACUUUUUACCAGGAGUUUACGAGAUGUUGUUGGGCUUUGAGGACUUUGAGAAUUUGAUCAGCGAGAGUAAAGAAGAAUAAGAAAAGAAUGGUAAUUAGAGGAAAGGUGAGAAAGUUAAAGAUCCGUCAUAUCAAGGACGUCGAAAGACUCAGAGCUUCAAAAGAAGUGAAGUUAGAACUAAUUCUUCCAACUGAGGUUUUAGUGCCACUGGUCCGAGGCGAAGUGAUAGAUUUACGGGUGAUCCCAGAUCUUAAAGACAAGGUGACUCGAGUAAGGGAAAUGUACCUUUGUGCCAUAGGUAUAAUAUCAGACACUUUGGAGAGUGUGGGAAUCAGUGAAUGUGUUCAUGUGGACGGAUGGGACAUAGAGGUAUGAAUUGUCCCUGAGAUGAGUUGUUACCCAACAGUCUUCCUUAACAUAUCACUUGGAAAUAUUGACGAGUAAGUCGUACAGGUCACUAUAUGUGACUCCGACUUAUGUGCUAGCAUGGAUGGUCGAGUUGUAGACUCAGUCGUACAGGUCAUUCUAGCUGACUCCGGCUGAUAUAUUUCUUAUUAUGGUCGAUGUUGCCAAAGAAAGUAAUGUUGGAGCACGAUCGAGGCGUAUUUAUGUAUUUCUAAGGAAGAACAAGAUGAUAAUAUUACACCCCUCAGGAAUUGUUACUUAGUUAUCGAGACAACAGUGAGUUAUUUGUAUUGCGGGCUGCAAACCGUAAUAUUUAUAACUUAUUUGUUGGAUUCGUUAAGUAAGUAAACAAGUAAGGCACUUUAUGUUGAUUUGGUUUAUUAAGGGUGUCAAGUGAUGGUGAAAAAUGUCAUGUCAGUGAAUUUUAUUCCGUUGGAUAUUAUGGAUUUUGAGGUGAUUUUUUUGGCACCAGUGGGUGCAGUAUAAUUGUGUCAAGCUAGAUUGCUAUGGGGAAUCAGUUAAUUUUUGUUGACCUGGAUGACCAGAGGUUACUUUUGGGGGUAAGUAAAGUGGAGUGAGUUUAUGCCAUUAUUCCUGUUGAGAGAGCAAAAGAAGAUUGUUAUCAAAAGGCUGCCAAGAUAUUGAGUUCAUAUGGUGCUAAAUGAUGUUGAUCCUAAUAGUAUGGAAGAUGUAAAGAUGGUUAGACAUUUUCUUGGUGUAUUCCCAGAUGACUUACCUAGAUUGCCGCCAGGCAGAGAUGUGGGUUCCAUUAUUGAAUUGUUUUUAGGUACAAAUCCUAUGUUAGAAAUUGGUUCAGGUUGAGUUAAAAGUUCCAUUCAACUUAUUAUAUAUCACAUUGGAAAAGCUCCGGUUUAUUUGUGAGGAAGAAAGUGGACAUUAAGGCUAGGCAUUGAUAUUAGGUAAUUGAAUCGGGUAACGAUUGAGAGCUGUUAUCCAUUGUUGUGUAUUAAUGAUUAUUUGAUCAGCUCUGAGGCGCCUGGGUACUUUCUGAGAUUGACUUGAGGUCUGAAUGAUAUUAGUUGAAGAUUAACAGUGGGGAUGUCCAUAAGACUGAAUCCAGGACUCGUUAUGGUCAUUUCAAGUUGGGAUGCCAUACGGAGUGACGAAUGCACCUGCUACUUUUUAUGAGCUUACUGAAGGAAGUAUUCCAGUGAUAUCUAGAUCGGUUUGUUGUUGUUGCCAUUGACGAGAUUGAUAAGAUUAGAACAGUGCAUGCUAGAUAUUUAAAGUUGGUGUUGCAAGGAUUGAAGGAACGUUGAUGUAUGUAAGUUUAGCAAAUGCUAAUGUUGGAUAAAUUAAUUAUAUCUACUUAAGGUAUUCAAGUGGAUUCUUAAAAGAGUAGCAACGAUUGAGAAUUUGGAACAAUUGCGAACCGUGACUGAGGUUCAGAGUUUUCUCGGAUUAGCAGGAUAUUGUCGAUAGUUCGUCCAAGAUUUUAAUUAUUGCUUCACCCUUGGCGAGAUUGAUGAGAAAAGAGGUUAAGUUUGAGUGGGAUGAAAAAUUGUGAGUAGAGCUUCAGCAAGUAAAGUAUUCCCUCACUCAUGCAUCUGUUUUCGCACUCCCAAACGAUAGUGGUAAUUACGUGGUCUAUAGUAAUACUUCUUUGAAUGUUCUUGAAUGCGCGUUGAUGCAACAUGGUAGGAUGAUUGCCUAUGCUUCAUGGCCAUUGGGAUCUCAUAAGAUGAAUUACCCUAAUUAUAAUUUGGAAUUAGCAGCUAUCAUCUUUGCUUUGAGAAUUUGGAGACAUUGUCUUUAUGGGAAGAAAAGUGCAUGAUUGUUACAAAUCAAAAAGAGUACCCAAUAUCUGUUUAUUCAGAGGUAUCUUAAUCUUAGGCAACAAAGGUGGAAUGAGUUGCUUAGUGAUUAUGAUUGUGUGACGAGGGUGGUCAAGCUAAUGUUGUGGCUGAUGCAUUUAGUAGGAAGACCCCAGUGAGAAUUAAUGCUUGGUACACUUGCUAUGUUCAUCUUCUUGUGGAUUUGAAAUCUACUGGAGUAAAGUUGAGUAUCAAAAAUCGAGAAGAAGCCUUACUUGCUAAUUUCUAAGUUGGACCCAUUUGGUAGAUCGUACUCGAUACUCAAGCGUUUGACGAAGAAAUUCAAGAAUUUAUUUAAAGCAAGGAAUAACGGGAUAAAGAAGGACCUUAGAGUUAGAGAAUCAGAUAGCAAGCUUAUGCAAGGGAACAAAGUAUUUAUGCCUAAUGGUGUGGAAUUAAAGAAAGCAAUUUUGACGAUGUACAUUAUUCCACUUCUACAAUGCAUCCCGAAAGUACUAAGAUUUAUCAUACCAUUCGUUCAUGUACUAUUGACGGGUAUGAAAAGAGGAAUGGCGAAGUAUGUUAGUAGGCGUAUCAUCAGUCAUCAGGUUAAAGCAGAAAGAAAUAAGUCUUUUGGAAUAAUGUAGUCAUUUCCCAUUCCACGGCGGAAAUGGGAGAAUAUUACUAUGGAUUUCAUGGACAAGCUUCCUCGUAUACCAAAUAGUUAGGUUGGAGUUUGAAUAAUAAUUGAUUGACUUGUGACGUCAGCGCAUGUUACUUCAGUAUGAGAACAUCAACCUUUCCAGAUAAGCGCAACAGUUAUUUAUUUGUUUUAUGGAAAAAGGAGAUUGGGAUCUGUUAAACUUCUUGGGUAUGUUGGUUCCUUCAGUUUGUUCCCUAGAGUAACGCCAUAAGGCCGUGGAAAGCUAUGUCUUGUGUUUCGAAAUUGUUAGAAUUGGGGACGGAUGAUAUUUCAAGACUCUGAGUUUGGUGAAAAUUUAUGGAGGAAUCUUUCAGUGGAAAGAAACUACUUGAAAGUCAAAGAAUCGAAUGAGAGAGAUGUGUUUCGGGCUGUUUCAUGGAUAUUGAUGGAUUGUAAAGAUUGUGUAAAUUUCGAGGACGAAAUUUCUGUAAGGUGGGUAGAUUGUGACAGCCCGUCCUUAAUUUUAAGAAUUUUUAAAGUUUUAAUAAAGGAUUUUACAAAAAUGCCCUUCGAGGCACGCACAUCAUUCGAGGUUAAUCGUUGUGUCGUGCCAUCUAAGAUUUGUUUUCUUGACAUAUCCUCGUAGUACUCGUCGUUACGGACGUGUGGGCGCAGACGGUUCGUGAUUUGGAGUUAUAUCGAAGAAGUUAUUAACGUUUGAAAUUUGGAAUUUUAAGGAAUUAUAAUUUUAGUAAAAUAUAGAAAUUCUUUUAUGAAAUUGGACGGCCCAGAUUUAUUGAUGAAUGAAAUGGAUGGCUGGGAUGAGAAAAAUGAAAGUUUUGUGUGGGUGUGUGCGUGGGAAGAACCAGAAAACAGAGAAGAAGAAGAGAGAUUGGGCAAAAACUGCCCAAUCGGAGAAGAAGGAGAGAGAGCGAAUCAGAGGCAGAGAGAGGAAGAAACUGACCAAUCGGAACAGGGAAAGGAGGAAGGGAGAGAGGGUGAGAAGCGGAGGAAAAGAGGAAGUGGGUUGGGGAGAACCCGUGGGUCGUUUCGACCCGGCGGUGCCCACGCCCAAAUUCGAUGGAUUUCGUCCAAAUUUCCGACGAAUUGAGUCAAGGACCUAGAACAAAGCCCAAGAGGUAAUUGAGGCGUUGGAACAAGUUUGAAGGUCGAAUUGGAAACACCCAAAUUCUAGGGUUCUUCACGGUUUUGGUGAAAUUGAAGCACUUCCAGGCCAAAUUGGCCUUGGUCUCAGGAUUUCUGAGGUUGGGUUUGAUUAUUGUUCUAGGCGCUAAUCUUCAUGACGCCUUGAUGUGUGGUGCUAGGGAGUUGUUGAGCGAACUCCAGGUGAGUGGGCAGUUUUGUUUUCGUAUUACCUAUAUACUAUUGAUUUUUCCCAGAAAAUGAAUUUAUAUGAAAAUAUGCUUUAAAAAUGCCAUGCAUAGAAUUAUUUGAAAAUGUGAAUUGUUAUAUGAAUUACAUGAUUGAGAUAUGAUGCAUGCAUGUUGCAUGGUGCUGUGGAGGCACAGGUAAGUCAGGUGAGUUCAUUAUUCAUUUAAUUGAAUUGAUUGAUAUCGAUAUAAUUUGAGCUCAUAACCUGCACCCUAGGUGUUAGUGCUUAUAUUAUUCACCACACCGCACGCUCGCCUUGGAUCCAAGUAGGUGGAUGUCGUACAGACCAUGUGAGGGUUCCGACAUGCUAGUCGUACAGAUCACUAGGCGUGAUUCCGACUAGUGGGUGACCUUAGAUAUGCGCGCUGAUGAUAUGAUGAGAGAAGCACUAGAGCGUAUUUUACACCUUUCAUCGUAUAGACUACCUUACGUAGUUCCGAGUGAUGUGCAGAGUAGGGCCGUAUAGGUCACUGUGGUGACUCCGGCUUAGUGAGAUAUUGAGCUGUUGAAUUAAUCGUAUAGGACCAACUGCAGGGUCUCCGAUUGAUUCCUUAUUUCACCUGAUUUAUAUUUUGAUUUAUGGCAUGGCAUGUUUUUCUUGAAAAGCGUUAAAGAUUUGAGAUUUGAAUUUUGAGAUUAUAUAUGGUUUUAUAUACUAUUUUCUGGGAAAGUAUACAGGUUUUACGGUGAGGGGUUAUAAAUGUUUUAAAUGGAAAGUCUUCGAAAAACUUUGUUUUACUGACCCACUCAAUUUUGUUUUGCGCCCCUCCAGGUUCAAGUUAGCAGAGCUUUGGUGGCCACGAGGAAUCCAACGGUGUUCUGACAGAAUUCACAAAAGUAUGACUCACCCUCGGGUGUCUCAUCUUAGUAAUUGUAAUUUUUCUUAAAACUUCCGAACUGUGUAAAUGGUUACGUCACUCUCACGUGACGGCCAGCACGCCCUCCUUCGGGAUGGGGUGUGUCAACGCUGGCCACUAAUCCACUAAGCUACAAGUGGGAAUAAGGGCUGUCUUCCACUGUCUGUAGAAGCUUGCUUCCUAGAACUCCUGUUUUCUAUAUAAAUGCAACACACACCAAACAUAAUGGUGAUAAGAAGAAAAGAGAAACAAAAGGAAUAGAGAAAAGAGAGGAAG